CUUCUAGUAAUAACCAAUGUGAACAAAAACCGAAAUUUUAUUAAAUACACUACCAAAUCCUCAUCAGAUUUAUGUUUUAACGAAAUGUGAGCAACCUUUUAUGUUCAGUUCAUAUAACAUUGCCAUGGAAUUUCCUUUAUUUUGAUCACAUUCAUUUUCUUUAUCUGGAACACAUCCAAUGAAUAGUUGUUUUGAAGUGCAGCAGACAGAAAGUACAUUUUGUAUGCCUAUUUCACUGAAGUCGAUAUAUGCAGAAAGAUGUCCAGAUGGGUUCAGGAUGUGUAGUGUGUUGGUUGAUGUGUCGUGUGUUAUGAUGUUAUUAGAUUGUGUUGCCUGGAUAUCCCUUGGUGUGAAUGGUUCAUUGAAGGAAUUAAUACUUGAAUGACCUUGAUAAUAUUCAAUUUGAUUGUUUUGCAACAUAAUGACUAUUCUAUGUCCUCUAUCAUAUGAUAAUCCAUCUACAACAAAUAUAUUUUGUGCAUCAUUUGUGCAUGCCAAAGAAAGAGGAUAUAUAAAAAUUGGUUGCUUGUCUUCACGGAAUUCGAUUUUAUAUACAUGUCGUCAAUUUUUUUUCAUCUUUAUAACUGCUCUUGUUCCAUGUUCAGGGUAAUUACUAUUUAUGGCUGCGACCAGGAUAAAAUCAUUUUGCAGACAAAUGGCCACAGGAAUUAGAGAUCCUGCAUCAUAUUUAGAAUUUCCCAGUUUACCAGUUCUAUUGUCAAUAUAUUUAAUUCUUGAAAUAUUGGUGCAUAGAAGAAUAUCAUUCAAUGGGGUAACUGUCAUACCAUAAACAGGAAUUUUAAAGCUUGAUAUUUCUUUUAGCUUGUUUCCUGUUGGUUUGACCUUCUUUAAGAAAUAAGAUGUGCCUAUACGUGUACAUAUCCAAAUAUGUCCAUCUGAGGCGUGGGUAACUUUAAAAAAUGCAGGGAAAAAUGUUUGAUAUUUAUUCCCAAUUGUUAAAUCAAGUUUUGUGCAAGGAUUACCUUCAUCAUCUGAAUUGCCUUUGUUGUAUUUGAAUGUUCCAAAGUUGCAUUCAUCUAGCUUUCCUGGAACAAAGGUUGGCAUGGUCUGUUUUUCAAAUGUAGUCAGUUGAACAUCCUCUCUCAAAGAUUUUUCUAUUCCCUCAAUAUUCAGGAAAAAAAUGGUGCCAUCUUUUAUAUUCAUAAAUUCCUCAGCUUUUGUUAACUUUUCCUGUAUUUUCUCUUUCAUUGUUUUGACUCUAUCAAUGUCAUUUUCAGUGCCCUGUUGCAAUACACCCAAUUUUUCAUCCAGUUUAUUUAUUAAGGAUAAGGCAUAAUUUUUUACUUCCUCUUUUACAACAUUUUCAUGUGUUGUGAUGCCCUUCUUUACUUCUCUGAAUUGAAGGUUGUUUUCUUCUUUUCCUUUUUCCAAUUUUUCGAUUUCCUUUGUUAAUGUUUCUUGUUGAAAUUUCAAUGUUUUGGUAUGUUUCAUCAAAUUAUCUUUCUUGAUAAGAUAACCACACUUUAUUUCUUCAAAAACAUGUGAUUUAUGUGUUUUUGUAACACAUUGCAUACAGAUAAGUUUAUCACAUGAUUUGCAGUAUAAGCAGGAAUUUUCUACUGAAUGUUCGGUACAUUUUACAUCACCAAAACGCAUUUCUCCUUCAAAACUGCUAACUUGAACUUCCUUAUGUCCGACAUCUUUGAUGUUGACAAUUUUGUGCUCAUAAGCUAACUUGAACUUUGGAUGAAUUUUUUCCUUACAUUUUUGACACAUAAGUAAAUCACAAUCCAAGCACUUCCACUCGAUACCUCUUUCAAUCUCACAAAUUUGGCAUAA
rnacentral:lncRNA from 1 species